GAAGAAGAUGGAGGCGAGCCAGUACUUGGACGCCUGAGUGUUUUGCCUCUUCGUGGUUACCCAAGCCUUGUUCGUUAAGAGAUCUCAGGAGAACUUUCUAACAAUUUAAGGACUCUGGAUUCUCGCUUUUUUCCCCGCUGGCAGCCGGAUCAGACGUUUGCUUCACAGCUUCAGGCGAACCCUGUCCACCCUCCUCCGUAACUCUCAGGACUACCUUGCUCCGACGGUGCAGUGUUGCUCGCUGCCCCUCCAGGAUCACAACCUCUCUCCCUGGCGAACCUAACUCUCUAGCUCUCUCGUAGAGUACUUUUUAAGGGUUCUGUUGUGGUGUCUUACCUGCGUUCGUUUUCUCUUGCAGUCGCUCAGCAGCCUCUGUUUCCAGUACCUGGUUCCGCAAAUAAAGCUUCUGAAACGC